UCCUUUCCUUCUGCCUCACGACCAGGAGAGAGGCUCGCUGCUUGCUACACCAUCCCCUUGGACACACAGAGAAACUGAGUCUCAGCGGAUCGAGGACACAAGGUUUUCCACGCAGUUACUCCUGGGAACUUCACUGGAGUCGGGGGAGAGAGAGCUUUGUGUGUCGGGGCAGCGCCUCCCGGCCUGGUGCGUGUGUGUAACCAGAUGUCCUGCUGUAUUCUGUACCACUCACCUAGAGACAAGGCAAAGCGAGCUGAUCUCCAAACACUGCAUCCAGACUUACUGCAGAAGCCCAAUUGCCUCUCUCUUAGAGCAGCUAGGAAUGUCUUACACUGUCUCGUUACAUGUUUCCCGAUCCUUAACGUGAACAUCACCAGCAGAACAGUUCCACGUCAUUUGGAGAAAUUUGAUAGUGAA